rnacentral:rRNA from 1 species
GACGUAGGGCGCGAGCGUUGUCCGGAUUUAUUGGGCGUAAAGAGCUCGUAGGCGGCUUGUCGCGUCGUUCGUGAAAACCUGCAGCUCAACUGCAGGCUUGCGGUCGAUACGGGCAGGCUAGAGUUCGGUAGGGGAGACUGGAAUUCCUGGUGUAGCGGUGAAAUGCGCAGAUAUCAGGAAGAACACCAAUGGCGAAAGCAGCUUUCUGGGACGGUACUGACGCUGAGACGCGAAAGCGUGGGGAGCGAACAGG